GACAGCUUCUUUCUCUCCUACAGACCUUUUUUCCCCCAGCACCUAAUCCUGAUUUCUGUCCAACAGGCAACCUGCUUCUUUCUGGACUACUUGCAGUAGAUUCUUCGCUGGUAACCCCAUUCAAAAAUGCUUUUAGCUACAACUGCUGGUAGAGUUGCAAACUGGGAGGCAGGUUCAUUAGUAGACUCUUCUCCAGUUCUCCCGUGAAGCAGUGGAGCAGGUUGCCCAGAGAGGUGGUGGAAGCCCUGUCCUUGGUGACAUUCAAGGUAAGGCUGGGUGGGGGCUCUGAGCAACCUGGUCUAACUGUAGGUGUCCCGGUGCAUUGAAGGGGAGUUGGACUAGAUGACCUUUAAAUGUCCCUUCCAACUCAAUGAUUCUAUGACUCUAAUACUCAGCAAGGAGCUGAAAUUUGCAACAGAGAAUACCAAGAAUCAUAGAAUCAUUAAGCUUGGAAGAGAUCAUCAGGUCCAUCCAUCAGCCCAUCCUCGCCAUGCCCACUAAACUAUGUCCAUCAGUAUAAUGUCACACCUCCAGGGACAGUGAGUUCACCACCUCCCGGGGCUGCCUGUGUCAAUGCCUCACCUCUCCUUCUGAGAAGAAAUUUCUCCCAAUAUCCAACCUAAAUGAAGCAAGCAAUUAAAAUAUCCAAGUCUUCACUAACUGUGUUCUGAGAACUAAUAAAACCAAGGUCAGAGAAAAGAGGAAAUAUGCAGGUCUAAACGUUAAAUAAUGAUCUUAGUUAAAUUAGUUUUCAGAUGGAGAGGUGAGGCAUUGGCACAGGCUGCCCAGGGGGUGGCUGAGUCACCAUCCUUGAAGGUGUUCAAGACACACGGAGGUGUUGCACUGAAAGACAUGGUUAAUGAUCAUGGUGGUGGUGGGUUGAUGGUUGGACUAGAUGACCUUAGUGGUCUUUUCCAACCUUAAUGAUUCUAUGAUUCUGUGAUUCAGGGACUGUCCGGGCUGUUCAAAGAUUGCACCUUUUGCAGUGGCCAAGAGGAGCUCUGCAUAAUAUGGGCUCCUAGGUGUAGGUUUAUGCUUUGGUUCGGGGCCCAGCUCCAGAACACCACUUGUUGCUUUCCAAUGGGACCAUGUCACUGGUGCUCCCAGGGGCAGGGAAGAGCACCUCCUCACCCUGACACAGGGGAAUGAGUGUCCCAAGUUCAGCUUAACAGGUUAUCUCCUAUGAGACAUCAGAGAGGUACAGGAUAAGGUUACAAAACAAGCACACCACUUUCCCAAGCAGUUUAUCUUUCUCUAUCACAUACCUUUUGCUUGUGAGAUUUUCAUUAGGAUGCAUGGUGUUCUUUGGGAGUACAGUAUUUGUUUCUUCUGAGAGUCACAAGCUUAAAAAAACAGUGGUGGCAUCAGGAAGGUUUGUUUCCUGUCAUUUAUUGCCCUGCUAGUAUGAAUGCUUAUUUUUUCUAAAGCACUAUCUUGUGGUCAGCUGCAUCUGGUGCUAAUACACGAUUACGGUAAAUUUACAUUUUACGAGCUGAAAUUUCCUGUAAACCUUCUGUGGGCUAGCAAUACAAAAUGAAACUAAACAAGUCACUCACAGAUGUGAAAUAUUGUUUGAUUUGAUUUAUUUUUUUUGUUUU
rnacentral:lncRNA from 1 species